rnacentral:tRNA from 1 species
GCCGGGGUGGCGGAACAGGCAGACGCUGGGGACUUAAAAUCCCCUGGGCCCCGUGCCCGUGCGGGUUCGAUUCCCGCCCCCGGCA